rnacentral:misc_RNA from 1 species
AGUUCUUCCCUUUGCCUUUCUGGUUAGAAUGCCUGUUCCAUCUCCACAGCAGAGCUGCAACCCAUGUGGUGGGAAUUGUUGGUGGUAAUGAUUCUCCACUUGUUGAGCCAUUUAUGGGAGAAAAUGAAAACCUCAAGAGGUGAGGCAAAAGGUGUGGUGAAGUGCAGAGCUGCAAUUGGUCCUGGUGAUUCCCUCUCGAAAAAUGAAUGGUGGAAUCGACAUUGUCAUUGCUUGAGUGAUUGCAUUUCUCAACAACAUUUGCCUUGAAAACCAUCGAUGGCCAAAAGGGCAAAGGGAAGAACUGACCCAAUUCUCUUCAUCUCACUCUAUUAAUUUCAACUCUUCAAAAUUCCAAAUAUAUCCAGAGACCCAUCACUCCUAAAUUUCUUUUCUGUUUCUUAUCUUUCAAAACCCUCUCAAAAUUCUGAAAUACUCGAAACCAUUAGGACAAUAGUUUGGAAUCAUUGAUGGUGAUGAGAUCGUUGGAAUUGUUGCUAGUUGGAAUCACUUGUCUAGGUCAACGUAGGGGCGAACAGAAAUCCAUCUUGGAUUUUAAGAAUUGUUGAGAAUAUUGGGAAUCGUUUGUCCGUUGUGUUUGGAUUUCACUAUUGGAGCUAUUGAGAAUAUUGGGUUUGUGUAGCUAUGUUUAGUUGCAAGAGAGAAUGGAGGUUGAGGUGAGAUGAGAGUGGGGGAUGAGGGUGGCGGGGAAUGGGGUAGAUGGAGGUGAGAUUCUUGGUGUUGCAGAAAUGGGUGAGAA